GGACUUGAGGAUGAUUUGGCUGAGACAUCUGCUACCCCACUGAAGGCAAGAGUUGGUUUGCCGGAUCUGGCUGGCUAGGCAGGUGUCCUCUCUUUCCCCUUACUAUUCCAUGUGCAUCCUUCUCGAAGCUGUGUGCUUUGUCAAAAAGGAGUGGCUGUGCUUCCCCUACUAGAACCUCCAAACAAGCUCUAUGAGAAGAAGCUGGGUCCUGGAGAGAUGGCUCAGCAGUUAAGAGUGCUUGCU
rnacentral:snRNA from 1 species